rnacentral:rRNA from 1 species
GACGAACGCUGGCGGCGUGCUUAACACAUGCAAGUCGAACGAAGUGGCGAACGGGUGAGUAACGCGUAAUCAACCUGCCCUUCAGCGGGGGACAACAGUUGGAAACGACUGCUAAUACCGCAUACUGAAGGCGGGGAUUGCGGCUGAUUAGCUAGUCGGCAGGGUAACGUCCAACCAAGGCGAUGAUCAGUAGGCGGUAUGAGAGGAUGAACGGCAGAGUUGGGACUGAGAAAAGGACCAGACUCCUACGGGAGGCAGCAGUUGGGAAUGUGUCGAAAUGGAAGAAAGUCUGACGGGGCAACGCCGCGUGGGGGAUGACGGCCUUCGGGUUGUAAAGCUCUGUUAAUCGGUGCGCGGUACCGGAAUAGAAGGCCACGGCUAACUACAAGCCAGCCGACGCGGUAAUAC